rnacentral:rRNA from 1 species
AUUGAACGCUGGCGGCAGGCUUAACACAUGCAAGUCGAGCGGGGUGAUGGUGCUUGCACUAUCACUUAGCGGCGGACGGGUGAGUAAUGCUUAGGAAUCUGCCUAUUAGUGGGGGACAACAUCUCGAAAGGGAUGCUAAUACCGCAUACGUCCUACGGGAGAAAGCAGGGGAUCACUUGUGACCUUGCGCUAAUAGAUGAGCCUAAGUCGGAUUAGCUAGUUGGUGGGGUAAAGGCCUACCAAGGCAACGAUCUGUAGCGGGUCUGAGAGGAUGAUCCGCCACACUGGGACUGAGACACGGCCCAGACUCCUACGGGAGGCAGCAGUGGGGAAUAUUGGACAAUGGGGGGAACCCUGAUCCAGCCAUGCCGCGUGUGUGAGGAAGGCCUUAUGGUUGUAAAGCACUUUAAGCGAGGAGGAGGCUCUUUUGGUUAAUACCCAAGAUGAGUGGACGUUACUCGCAGAAUAAGUACCGGCUAACUCUGUGCCAGCCGCCGCGGUAA